rnacentral:rRNA from 1 species
AUUGAACGCUGGCGGCAGGCCUAACACAUGCAAGUCGAGCGAGCGGCGGACGGGUGAGUAAUGUAUGGGGACUGCCCGAUAGAGGGGGAUAACUACUGGAAACGGUGGCUAAUACCGCAUACUAUCGGAUAACCCAUAUGGGAUUAGCUAGUAGGUGGGGUAAAGGCUCAGCUAGGCGACGAUCCCUAGCUGGUCUGAGAGGAUGGUAGCCCACCCUGGAGCGGAGACCCGGCCCAGACGCCUACGGAGGCAGCAGUGGGGAAUAUUGGACAAUGGGCGCGAGCCUUAUGCAGCCAUGCCGCGUGUAUGGAGAAGGCCUUGGGGUCGUAAAGUACUUUCAGCGGGGAGGCGUUACCCGCAGAAGAAGCACCGGCUAACUCCGUGCCAGCAGCCGCGGUAAUAC